rnacentral:misc_RNA from 1 species
AUUCUUGGUAGAGAGAAGGCCAUAGUUGUAAAUUUGGAGCAGAUUCGAUGUAUUAUUACUGCUGAUGAGGUUCUGCUCCUAAAUUCCCUUGACAGCUAUGUCUUGCAGUAUGUGGUGGAGCUACAACGUCGGUUGCAAACAGCUGGAGUAGGUGAGGUUUGGCAGUCAGAAGGUGCUGAAUUGAAUAGAAGGAGAAGUAGGAAUUUCGAUAAUGUAUUUGGGAACCCAUCCCCUGAUUAUUUGCCCU